UCUCAAUUCUUUUUUGGGGGACUUGCUCACUAAGUCCUAUGCUCUUUAAAAGGACCCUGAGACAGAAAUUGAGCAGACAGGAGCUGUGAGACAACGGACAAUGCUACUGCCCAGGCAAACACCAWGAAUGGAGUUACCUGCAAUUUGGGUUGCUGCUUUCACGUUCACAUCUGUCGCCAAAGCUGCUGCUCCUGAAAUCACAAAGGAAAUGGAGAGGGGAGAGCUCAGCAGGAACACAAGCCACGGAACAGUUGUUGGUGUGAACAGCAAGUGACUGAAUUAAGCAAGCUACAGAGGUGCUCGGGGACUCUGUUGCCAGGUGCAACAGAAAUGGGAGCAGAAAUGCCUGCCUGCAACAGAGAAAAAGGGCGUUUGCUUUUGUAUUAAUUGGAUUUUAAGCUACUGGUGGUUCGGCAUACAUUACACUUUUAUAGAGGAGGUGAUCUUUCUGGCUUGAAACUUGAGGAAAGGCAAUGUUUUGAUACUAAGAUAUCUGAAGCUUUCUGGAUAUCUCCAAAGAUCUUGUCUGGAAAUUUAAUCAGUCCAAAAAAGUUUAAAUCCUCUCUUUAACUAGGACAAUUCCUUUUUUUU